GGCUCGGUGGCUCAGCCCGGCUAGAGCAACGGACUUGUAAGCGAAGCUUAAAACCAAGAUAUCCGUCGGAAAUAGUGUCUCAUAGACCUAUUGGCGAGUCGGGGGUUCAAAUCCCCCCCGAGCCU
rnacentral:tRNA from 1 species